rnacentral:rRNA from 1 species
GUCUAUGACCAUCCCACUCUGAUCCCUGAAGCAAAGAGCAGGGUAUGAUCUUGCCAGUACUUGUAUGGGAGACUGCCAGGGACUACUGGUUGCUAUAGGCU